UUAUAUUAGGUCUGUGGUUGAAAGUCGAUGCUAGUCGCAAGCGAAACGACCCACGUAAGUUGAAAAAAAUUUCAAUGAGCAUGGUGCGGUUUAGGGGUAAGACCUGCCGUCUUAGGGCGAGAGAGGGAUUAGUGAGAGGAAUGAACCUUAAGCAAAACUUCCAGCAGGCGGGUGUGGGGGCAAAGACCAGGUCAGCUAAUAUAA
rnacentral:ncRNA from 1 species